rnacentral:lncRNA from 1 species
AUAUUAACCAAGUGAGGUCACGAGUGCUUUACCAGAAUCCACGUACUUCAGAUGGACGCAGGGAAUUUGGCACCAUUCGUCAUAAAUUCACAGUGUUUCCUGGGAUGACUUGCAAGCUUUGAAACUAACUCUUUGGACAUAGGCAGUGGAUUGUACGUACAUGUUUCAUAUUUAUCUUCCAUGACUGAUUGAAAGCUCCGUGAAGGAAGACCUGUGACGUCCUAUUCAUAGCUGUAUUCAACAACCCAGCACACAAAACCAAUUCUUGAUCAAUGAGUGAAUAAGAUACAUUGCCCUCUACUAUAUCUCCUCCAUUGAGAAUGUGCCUACCCAGGGAUACCCCUUUUAUUUUAUGAUAGGCACUCUAUUAAUUUGCUAGGGCUGCCAUAACAAAGUGCCACAGACUGGCUGGUCCAAAGGAUAGCAAAUCAUUGUCUCCGUUCUGGAGGUAGGAAGUCCAAGAUCAAGGUUCCAGAAGGUUGGUUCCUUCUGGGGCUGUGAAAAAGAAUAUAUUUCAUGUUUCUCUCUCUCCUAGCUUCUGGGGCUAGCUAGCAGCGUUUGGUAUUUCUUUCUGUUUGAAGCAUCACUC